UACGUAGGGUGCAAGCGUUGUCCGGAAUUAUUGGGCGUAAAGAGCUUGUAGGCGGUUUGUCGCGUCUGCUGUGAAAUUUCGGGGCUCAACCCCGAACUUGCAGUGGGUACGGGCAGACUAGAGUUCGGUAGGGGAGACUGGAAUUCCUGGUGUAGCGGUGAAAUGCGCAGAUAUCAGGAGGAACACCGGUGGCGAAGGCGGGUCUCUGGGCCGAUACUGACGCUGAGGAGCGAAAGCGUGGGGAGCGAACAGG
rnacentral:rRNA from 1 species